CCUACGGGAGGCUGCAGUGGGGAAUAUUGGACAAUGGGGGCAACCCUGAUCCAGCCAUGCCGCGUGUGUGAAGAAGGCCCUCGGGUUGUAAAGCACUUUCAGUGAGGAAGAACGCCUGGUGGUUAAUACCCAUCAGGAAAGACAUCACUCACAGAAGAAGCACCGGCUAACUCCGUGCCGGCAGCCGCGGUAAUACGGAGGGUGCGAGCGUUAAUCGGAAUUACUGGGCGUAAAGCGCGCGUAGGUGGCUUGAUAAGCCGGUUGUGAAAGCCCCGGGCUCAACCUGGGAACGGCAUCCGGAACUGUCAAGCUAGAGUGCAGGAGAGGAAGGUAGAAUUCCCGGUGUAGCGGUGAAAUGCGUAGAGAUCGGGAGGAAUACCAGUGGCGAAGGCGGCCUUCUGGACUGACACUGACACUGAGGUGCGAAAGCGUGGGUAGCAAACAGGAUUAGAUACCCCGGUAGUC
rnacentral:rRNA from 1 species